GCACUUGUGGCGGAAUUGGCAUACGCGAUAGACUAAGGAUCUAUUCCGGGUUUCUGGGUGCAGGUUCAAGUCCUGUCAAGUGCA
rnacentral:tRNA from 1 species